rnacentral:rRNA from 1 species
GUGAGGAAUAUUGCGCAAUGGAGGCAACUCUGACGCAGCCAUGCCGCGUGCAGGAAGAAGGCGCUACGCGUUGUAAACUGCUUUUAACCGGGAAGAAACCCCAGGACGUGUCCUGGGUUGACGGUACCGGAGGAAUAAGCACCGGCUAACUUCGUGCCAGCAGCCGCGGUAAUACGAAGGGUGCAAGCGUUAUCCGGAUUCAUUGGGUUUAAAGGGUGCGUAGGCGGAGCGUUAAGUCAGUGGUGAAAUCCUGCAGCUUAACUGUAGACUUGCCAUUGAUACUGGAGCUCUUGAGUGCGCUUGAAGUGGGCGGAAUGUGCCGUGUAGCGGUGAAAUGCUUAGAUAUGGCACAGAACACCAAUUGCGAAGGCAGCUCACUAAGGCGAUACUGACGCUGAGGCACGAAAGCGUGGGGAUCGAACAGGAUUAGAAACCCGUGUAGUCC